AUUGAACGCUGGCGGCAGGCCUAACACAUGCAAGUCGAGCGAGCGGCGGACGGGUGAGUAAUGUCUGGGAAACUGCCUGAUGGAGGGGGAUAACUACUGGAAACGGUAGCUAAUACCGCAUACCAUCAGAUGUGCCCAGAUGGGAUUAGCUAGUAGGUGGGGUAACGGCUUACCUAGGCGACGAUCCAGAGCUGGUCUGAGAGGAGUAUCAGCCACACUGGGACUGUGACACGGCCCAGACGCCUACGGGAGGCAGCAGUGGGGAAUAUUGCACAAUGGGCGCAAGCCUGAUGCAGCCAUGCCGCGUGUAUGAAGAAGGCCUUCGGGUUGUAAAGUACUUUCAGUCGGGAGGUGUUACCGACAGAAGAAGCACCGGCUAACUCCGUGCCAGCAGCCGCGGUAAUAC
rnacentral:rRNA from 1 species